rnacentral:rRNA from 1 species
AUUGAACGCUGGCGGCAGGCUUAACACAUGCAAGUCGAACGAGUGGCGGACGGGUGAGUAAUGUCUGGGAAACUGCCUGAUGGAGGGGGAUAACUACUGGAAACGGUAGCUAAUACCGCAUACCAUCAGAUGUGCCCAGAUGGGAUUAGCUAGUAGGGGGGGUAACGGCUCACCUAGGCGACGAUCCCUAGCUGGGCUGAGAGGAUGACCAGCCACACUGGAACUGAGACACGGUCCAGACUCCUACGGGAGGAAGCAGUGGGGAAUAUUGCACAAUGGGCGCAAGCCUGAUGCAGCCAUGCCGCGUGUAUGAAGAAGGCCUUCGGGUUGUAAAGUACUUUCAGCGGGGAGGCGUUACCCGCAGAAGAAGCACCGGCUAACUCCGUGCCAGCAGCCGCGGUAAUUC